UACGUAGGGGGCAAGCGUUGUCCGGAUUUAUUGGGCGUAAAGCGCGUGUAGGCGGCCAGGUAGGUCUGCUGUGAAAACUUGAGGCUCAACCUCAAGCUGUCGGUGGAAACCACAUGGCUAGAGUCCGGAAGAGGAGAGUGGAAUUCCUGGUGUAGCGGUGAAAUGCGCAGAUAUCAGGAAGAACACCAAUGGCGAAGGCAGCUCUCUGGGACGGUACUGACACUGAGACGCGAAAGCGUGGGGAGCGAACAGG
rnacentral:rRNA from 1 species